rnacentral:rRNA from 1 species
UGGGGAAUAUUGCACAAUGGGCGCAAGCCUGAUGCAGCCAUGCCGCGUGUGUGAAGAAGGCCUUCGGGUUGUAAAGCACUUUCAGCGGGGAGGAAGGCGUUAAGGUUAAUAACCUUGGCGAUUGACGUUACCCGCAGAAGAAGCACCGGCUAACUCCGUGCCAGCAGCCGCGGUAAUACGGAGGGUGCAAGCGUUAAUCGGAAUUACUGGGCGUAAAGCGCACGCAGGCGGUCUGUCAAGUCGGAUGUGAAAUCCCCGGGCUCAACCUGGGAACUGCAUUCGAAACUGGCAGGCUAGAGUCUUGUAGAGGGGGGUAGAAUUCCAGGUGUAGCGGUGAAAUGCGUAGAGAUCUGGAGGAAUACCGGUGGCGAAGGCGGCCCCUUGGACAAAGACUGACGCUCAGGUGCGAAAGCGUGGGGAGCAAACAGG